rnacentral:rRNA from 1 species
AGGACCGGGAUGAACGUACCUCUGGUGGAGCAGUUGUCGCGCCAGCGGCAGUGCUGCAUAGCUAUGUACGGACGGGAUAACCGCUGAAAGCAUCUAAGCGGGAAACCCACCUCAAAACGAGAAUUCCCUUGAGAACCGUGGUAGACGACCACGUUGAUAGGCCGGGUGUGUAAGUGCGGCAACGCAUGUAGCUUACCGGUACUAAUCGUUCGAUUGGCUUGAUUGC